UUGUUAUUCCAUCCUGCUCCUUCCAGUACCCUGACAGAAGAAGCUGUGCUAAUUACUGGUAAUCAAUUGCAGAUUUUGUUUACAAGGAUCUGAUCUUCAGCUUCAUAGCAAAACCACUGCACCUAAGUUGAGCUAAAGGUGCUGAUCAUCUGCCAUCAACGAGGCAAGAGCUGGCUGGACAGAGUGACAACCCAGAGCGUGGUAGAUCCAAGACCUUUGCUGGCUCUCAGGCACACUCCAGUGAGUAGGAUCUGCAGUGAAUUUAGAAACUCCCUGCCAUCCCCAGAACCACAUGGUGCCAGUUGGAUCUGCAGCCACGUCUGCCUGAGCAGCCUCCCAGCCCUGACAGAGAGAGGAAGGAGCCAUGACUCACCCAAAGCUGGAGGAGAGGUGCGAGACUCCAGACCUUGGCAUCCCACCUCUGGAUCCUGCAUCCCUCCUAAAGCAUUUCAGAGCUGGUUUUCAUCCUUGCUUGAGUGGGAUCGAGAAGCCAGGGUCUGACAAUCCAGGAGGCAAUCCUGUGAACAGAGUGAGGAAGGGACUUUUAACAGGAACAUUAAUAAAUGAACUGCCUUUUCAAAGGG